rnacentral:rRNA from 16 species
UAAGAGAGUUUGAUCCUGGCUCAGGAUGAACGCUAGCGGCAGGCCUAACACAUGCAAGUCGAACGGUAACAGGAAAAAGCUUGCUUUUUUGCUGACGAGUGGCGCACGGGUGCGUAACGCGUAUACAAUCUACCUUUUACAGGGGGAUAGCCUUUGGAAACGAAGAUUAAUACCCCAUAGUAUUUACAAUUCGCAUGUUUUGUAAAUUAAAGUUUCGGCGGUAAGAGAUGAGUAUGCGUUCUAUUAGCUAGUAGGUGUGGUAACGGCACACCUAGGCAACGAUAGAUAGGGGCCCUGAGAGGGGGAUCCCCCACACUGGUACUGAGACACGGACCAGACUCCUACGGGAGGCAGCAGUGAGGAAUAUUGGACAAUGGGCGGAAGCCUGAUCCAGCCAUGCCGCGUGCAGGAAGACUGCCCUAUGGGUUGUAAACUGCUUUUGUACGGGAAGAAACCCAUCUACGUGUAGAUGGCUGACGGUACCGUAAGAAUAAGCAUCGGCUAACUCCGUGCCAGCAGCCGCGGUAAUACGGAGGAUGCAAGCGUUAUCCGGAAUGAUUGGGUUUAAAGGGUCCGUAGGUGGAUUGGUCAGUCAGAGGUGAAAUCCUGCAGCUCAACUGUAGAACUGCCUUUGAUACUGCCAGUCUUGAAUUAUUGUGAAGUGGUUAGAAUAUGUAGUGUAGCGGUGAAAUGCAUAGAUAUUACAUAGAAUACCGAUUGCGAAGGCAGAUCACUAACAAUAUAUUGACACUGAUGGACGAAAGCGUGGGGAGCGAACGGGAUUAGAUACCCCGGUAGUCCACGCCGUAAACGAUGGUCACUAGCUGUUCGGACUUCGGUCUGAGUGGCUAAGCGAAAGUGAUAAGUGACCCACCUGGGGAGUACGUUCGCAAGAAUGAAACUCAAAGGAAUUGACGGGGGCCCGCACAAGCGGUGGAGCAUGUGGUUUAAUUCGAUGCAACGCGAAGAACCUUACCAGGGUUUGACAUGAUACGAAUUUCUUUGAAAGAAGAAAGUGCCGUUUGGAACGUAUACACAGGUGGUGCAUGGCUGUCGUCAGCUCGUGUCGUGAGAUGUUGGGUUAAGUCCCGCAACGAGCGCAACCCUCAUCCUUAGUUGCCAUCACGUUUGGGUGGGCACUCUAGGGAAACUGCCGGUGCUAAGCCGGAGGAAGGCGGGGAUGACGUCAAGUCCUCAUGGCCCUUACGGGUUGGGCUACACACGUGCUACAAUGGCAGUGACAAUGGGAUAAUCCCCAAAAGCUGUCUCAGUUCGGAUUGUCGGCUGCAACUCGCCGGCAUGAAGUUGGAAUCGCUAGUAAUCGUGGAUCAGCAUGCCACGGUGAAUACGUUCCCGGGCCUUGUACACACCGCCCGUCACACCAUGGAAGCUGGUUAUGCCCGAAGUCAUUACUCUAACCGUUUGGAGGAGGGUGCCUAAGGUAGAAUUAGUGACUGGGGUGAAGUCGUAACAAGGUAACCGUAC